rnacentral:snRNA from 1 species
AGACAUCAAAACCAGCAAUAUUC